UCGAGAAUCUUCGGCAAUGGGCGCAAGCCUGACCGAGCGACGCCGCGUGGAGGAUGAAGGCCUUCGGGUUGUAAACUCCUGUCGAGGGGGAGGAAGCCGCAAGGUUGACCGAUCCCUGGAGGAAGGACGGGCUAAGUUCGUGCCAGCAGCCGCGGUAAGACGAACCGUCCUAACGUUAUUCGGAAUUACUGGGCUUAAAGCGCGUGUAGGCGGGAUGGUACGUCUGUCGCUGAAAUACCUCGGCUCAACCGAGGAACUGGCGGAGAUACGGCCAUCCUGGAGGGGGGUAGGGGGACCUGGAACUUCCGGUGGAGCGGUGAAAUGCGUUGAGAUCGGAAGGAACGCCCGUGGCGAAAGCGAGGUCCUGGACCCUUUCUGACGCUGAGACGCGAAAGCCAGGGGAGCAAACG
rnacentral:rRNA from 1 species